GACGAACGCUGGCGGCGUGCUUAGCACAUGCAAGUCGAACGGAAAGGCCCUGCUUUUGUGGGGUGCUCGAGUGGCGAACGGGUGAGUAACACGUGAGUAACCUGCCCUUGACUUUGGGAUAACUUCAGGAAACUGGGGCUAAUACCGGAUAGGAGCUCCUGCUGCAUGGUGGGGGUUGGAAAGUUUCGGCGGUUGGGGAUGGACUCGCGGCUUAUCAGCUUGUUGGUGGGGUAGUGGCUUACCAAGGCUUUGACGGGUAGCCGGCCUGAGAGGGUGACCGGCCACAUGGGGACUGAGAUACGGCCCAGACUCCGACGGGAGGCAGCAGUGGGGAAUAUGGCACAAUGGGCGGAAGCCGGAUGCAGCAACGCCGCGUGCGGGAGGACGGCCUUCGGGUGGUAAACCGCUUUCGCCUGUGACGAAGCGUGAGUGACGGUAAUGGGGAAAGAAGCACCGGCUAACUACGU
rnacentral:rRNA from 1 species